GACGAACGCUGGCGGCGUGCUUAACACAUGCAAGUCGUACGGUAAGGCCCUUUCGGGGGUACACGAGUGGCGAACGGGUGAGUAACACGUGAGUAACCUGCCCACAACUUUGGGAUAACGCUAGGAAACUGGUGCUAAUACUGGAUAUGUGCUCCUGCUGCAUGGUGGGGGUUGGAAAGCUCCGGCGGUUGUGGAUGGACUCGCGGCCUAUCAGCUUGUUGGUGGGGUAGUGGCCUACCAAGGCGGCGACGGGUAGCCGGCCUGAGAGGGUGACCGGCCACAUUGGGACUGAGAUACGGCCCAGACUCCUACGGGAGGCAGCAGUGGGGAAUAUUGCACAAUGGGCGCAAGCCUGAUGCAGAAACGCCGCGUGCGGGAUGACGGCCUUCGGGUUGUAAACCGCUUUCAGCAGGGACGAAGCUUUUUGUGACGGUACCUGCAGAAGAAGCACCGGCUAACUACGUG
rnacentral:rRNA from 1 species